GCAUUCUUAAUUUAAUGGUAAAAUAGUAAUUUACGGAAUUAUUAAUAUAGGUUCAAUUCCUAUAGAAUGUG